GUAGGGGGCAAGCGUUAUCCGGAUUUACUGGGUGUAAAGGGAGCGUAGACGGCACGGCAAGCCAGAUGUGAAAGCCCGGGGCUCAACCCCGGGACUGCUUUGGAAACUGUGCAGCUAGAGUGUCGGAGAGGCAAGCGGAAUUCCUAGUGUAGCGGUGAAAUGCGUAGAUAUUAGGAGGAACACCAGUGGCGAAGGCAGCUCACUGGAGCGCAACUGACGCUGAAGCUCGAAAGUGCGGGUAUCGAACAGGAUUAGAUACCCUGGUAGUCCGCACGGUAAACGAUGGAUGCCCGCUGUUGGUCUGAACAGGUCACCGNCCAACCNAAANCNUUAACCNUCCCACCUGGGGAGU
rnacentral:rRNA from 1 species